UAUACAUAAAUAAAGGGAUGAAACGUGCGUAUUUUAAUUAGAAAAGGGACAUAAAGAUAUUUUUGUUUUCUAUUAUAUUUAUAUUUAUAUUUUAUAUAGAAAAGGAAAGUGUGGUCGGCAAAUUUGACAUUUUGCUUAUCCAUAAAAAUGUUUUCCGAUACUAAUUAUCUCAAUGCUCGCUGGCUUCUCUCAAAUAUAAUUCUAGAAGAAUCAGCUUUUAUUUCUUUUGUUCCAAGGAUGGAGAAACAUUCCAAGCUUAUAUAUUAGUUCAUCAGCAAGGAAUUAGAAGGUUUUCUAUUUCUUCAUCUUCUUCAAGUUUUUUAAAGAUUUUUUCCCCUAACUUUUGCUUAUUUUUUUCAUGUAUAGCUAAAUUUAAGAAAAACGAUUUAUAAUUUUGGAUAUGCUGUGUCAGAUUUUUGGACUUUUUUGUUCCUGCUUGUAUUAGUCCAAUUGGAUACAGAUUAGCCAAGAGCAAGCAGGUGAUCAACAUACCUACUUGAGGACCAUAUGAGGUAGAUUACUGUUGUGGUUCUUAAGGUUUGUUCUUAUGCAAUAAUCCAUGAAUAUUGAGGUUUUCUGUUUUUUUUGGGCUUAUGGAGCAUUUCAGGUAAGAACCAAAAGAGAGAGAGAGAGAGAGAGAUAUUUUGUAGUUUAGCAUAAAAUAUUUUUUAGGUGAUGUAAUAAUGUAUUUGGCAAGUUUCUUGUUGCUCUUAUGGAAGUUGCUGUAAAUAUUUUUUUUUUUUUGUCAAAGCUGUAAUUCCUUGCUCCUAUGCAUUGUAAGUAUUUUUCUAAUGAGCUAUUUUGUUAUCACGACAUUAUUUUAGUUUCUUUGUUCACUUUAACCCUUUUUGAGUUGGUGUCACUUUCACAAGUUUAAUCAAAGUAGAAUCUCACUACAAAUCUAGAUGGAAAGAGAAACAUAGAAGGUGAAAUAUGUUAAGUUAUCAUCUGUACUCCUUAGAUAGUCAUAGUUACUUCUCUUUGGAUCUUAGUUAUAGAAUAAGAAUUAUUUUAAGAGAACCACAUUGAGUUUGAAUUGACACAUAUCCUUGUAAAGAACUUUUUAUGCAGUUUGUUAUGGAUUCUCUUGAAACUGAGUCUGCAGAUGGUAUUGAAAGUUAAAGAUAGGUAAUUGCACUUUUUCCUUUGAGUUCCUGAAUAUGCUAAGCCGAUAUUAGAUUUUUGCAAUAUGUGGGUUUCUAUAAUAUAUAGUACUUUAUUCCUCUAUUGUGCUCACACACAGAGAGGCAAAGAGGAACAUAAGAGAGGAGGUGUCUCGAAUAUUAACAUGUAGUCCAUUAUCUUUUAUUUUAGGUAAUUCCCUCUAAUUCAAGGCUACUGGUUUAGGAAUUAGGAUAUCGAUUUUCGUAGUAUGAUCAAAUUAUGGAGAAUCUUUGCUCUCUGCUACGUGUAUUUAUGACAUUAGUCAUGAUGAGUUCAAAGUUCAAACACUUACCAGGAAAAGUCCAAUCUGUAGGUUGCUCUGUUUGUUUAGUUAGACAGGAGUUUAUCCUUUUCUUCAUUUGAUUCUUAAUUUGAAAAGUCCAUUACUAUAUUUAUGCCUUCGUUCGUGAAUGAAUUUUUCCCUUAAUGAAAUAAGAGCUUGGUUACCCC
rnacentral:lncRNA from 1 species